UCCACGCCCUAAACGAUGAACACUAGUCGUCGGGAUGCUAGUCAUCUCGGUGAUGCACUUAACAGAUUAAGUGUUCCGCCUGGGGAGUACGGUCGCAAGAUUAAAACUCAAAGGAAUAGACGGGGACCCGCACAAGUGGUGGAGCAUGUGGUUUAAUUCGAAUACGCGAAGAACCUUACCUAGCCUUGACAUUGAAGAAACACCACUCUAUCUCUAGUGUGUUGCCCUUUCGG
rnacentral:rRNA from 1 species